CUCUCUCUCUCUCUCUGCUCUCCGUGUUGGCUUGCAGAAACAAUCCCAGGCAAUUUUGGAUACAACCUGCUCACCUUCAUAAUCUUGUACAACAACCUCAUUCCCAUCAGUCUGUUGGUGACUCUGGAAGUCGUGAAGUUUACUCAGGCUCUUUUUAUAAACUGGGUAAGUACUUGGAAUGUAAAAUAAGAGUGACAUUUAUUUAAGCAAAGCUGUGCAUGAAUCUUCAUCUCUUUUCUAGCCACAGCUGGAACCUGGUUGGCAGCGGGCUGCAUGGAAGACUUUCAAAACUUUCACUAUGCAAAAGAAAACAGCGCUUUUUCAAUUGCCAGAAAAACUUUCCAUAUGCAAAAUAAAAACAAAUUUAUUAAACUCAGGGACCCCUCUGUCUCUCCUGAUGUUCACAAUUUAUCAGAGGAGAUUUUAAUAUGCAGAAAUCACCCAUUGUUGACAUCUUCCUUGACUGUAUUUUGUAUGUAACCCAUAUUUUGCAUGGUGGUUCCUUAGACCAAUGAACAGAUUUUGUAUGUAUUUUUGGAUUCAAUUAGAUUCUAUUUCAAAUCAAGAAGGUAGACUGAACCUUUAAAAACUGCACAGCUUUUAACCACAGAUUUCAAAACUGCACUGGAUUUUUGGAUUUUUAGCAUUCCUGAGUAAUGGUGGGUAUGAGACUGUUAGUAAAAUAGAGCAGAACAGCAGUGAAACCUCAGCAUAAUACAUUGGUGAAGCAGAUAAAAAUAGAAUAUACUUCAUGAAGAACACUUUAGAUUCAAAUGUUGAUUGAGGCUGCAAUCCUCUACCCACUCAGUUGGAAGUAGGCCCCUUUGAACUCACUGGAACUUACUUCUGUGUAGGCAUCUAUAGGCUUUCACUUUAAGCAUCCUCACUUCUCCUUGCUUUCAGGACAUAGAUAUGUAUUAUCAUGAAACAGAUACACCUGCAAUGGCCAGGACUUCAAACCUUAAUGAGGAACUCGGCCAGGUAAGAACGAUAGAAUGUGGUAUGAUGGCAGAGAACGAUGUGAAAAACCAACUAUUAGACUUGUGCAGUACUUUUCGUUCCAUGCUUGCAAUCUAUGAAUAACGCUUGAGAAUUCACAAUGAUAAACUGCUAGAUCCCUUCCUCAGCGAUUGUAGGCAAGCCUUCUAAAAAGCAUUGUGAAUUACAGUGAACACUGUCUUGCUGGGGACUGUGUUUGUGCCGUAUCCAUUGUAGCACCUAGUAAAGCCAGUGUGGUGUAGUGGUUAAGAGCGGUAAUCUCGUAAUCUGGGGAACCGGGUUCGCGUCUCCGCUCCUCCACAUGCAGCUGCUGGGUGACCUUGGGCCAGUCACACUUCUUUGAAGUCUCUCAGCCCCACUCACCUCACAGAGUGUUUGUUGUGGGGGAGGAAGGGAAAGGAGAAUGUUAGCUGCUUUGAGACUCCUGAAGGGGAGUGAAAGGCGGGAUAUCAAAUCCAAACUCCUCUUCUUCUUCUUCUCCUAAAUCCUUAAUGGCACAAACGACCCUUUCUGUGCCCUUUUGAACAACUUAUUAUAACUUAUUAUUUUCUGCAGUGGUGAUUCUUUUAAGUUCAGGUGACAGAAGUAAUACAUUUGCAUUAUUAUUCCUUUUUUAUACUGCCAUUCUUCCAAAUGAUGUAGAAUAUAGCCAUUGGGAUCAGAUGCCCUUAUUUUAGGGUUACCAGACGUCCCUGUUUUCCGGGGACAGUCCCCGGAUUUGCAAAUAAGUCCCCAGACAAAUUCCAUCUCCAGAAUGUCCCUGGAUUUCAUCUAAUGUCCCCGGGAAAUGCAGCAGUGGCAGUCUCAGCAGCCCGGAGCAGUUGGCUCUGGCUGGCUUCAGGAGCUGCUCGGAAGUCCCCAUAUGAUGGUGGUGCAGGGGCUCUAAGAUGCAGUUUCCGGGCUGUGUCCACCUUCCCUGACCCCAGCAACUAAGCUGUGAAGGGAGGCUACAUGCUGCCUGUUGGAGCAGCCUCCCAACUCCUACUUGUGUGCAAGCAGGAGCAGCGUGGGGAUCUCUCAGCCGUGAAGGGAGACUUCACACUGUAGCAGAGCUUGCAUGCAAGCAAGAGGGGCAGGGAUCUCUCAGAUAGGCAACGGGAAGCCUCCCUUCCCAGCUGAGGGAUCCCCGCCCCUCCAGCUUACACGCAAGUAGGAGUUGGGAUGGGGCUGCUCCGAAAGGCAGUGAGAAACCUCCCUUCCCUCUGCCACCGCCAUCACUGCAGCAUCAAUGUCCUGAAUGUGUAGUAUGUAUGUAUGUAUGUAUGUAUGUAUUGAAAAAAAUCUGGUAACCUUGCUUUAUUUCUGUUUGACCGUGUGAAGAAAGGUGGCGCAUGUCUGUUCUGAUGGCCCACCUUCUUGUAUAAUUUGCACUUCCCUUUUCAUUGUACAGAUAUCCUAACUUCAAUGCCUGCCAUUUGACUUCUAGGUAAAAUACCUGUUUUCUGAUAAAACGGGCACCUUAACAUGCAAUAUUAUGAACUUUAAGAAAUGCAGCAUUGCGGGAGUAACAUAUGG